AUUGUACAUGCUCCUCCAUAAAAAUCAUCAUCACACCCCACGCCAUAGAUUAUGAGCGGUCCCUUAAUUCCCCCAAAAUAUCACAUAUGGAACCAUUCAAACCCACAAAACGUAACGCAUUUGGCAGAAUAUUUGGCACUUUUGGAGCCACUUAUAAAGAUACUCCCACUUGUAAAAUGUUAGAUGAAACCAACAGAAAUAAAGUAUAUUUGACACUUUUAGAGCACAUUUGGUUGCCGUAUAGG